ensembl:snoRNA
CUAAAUCCACUGAUAGACCUUGAACAAUUUGCUGUUGUUCUUUUGGCUUGCACUUGGAUGCAAAAGAAAAGAUGGACCAAGUACUUGGACACUUGCAUCC